UACCAGCACCCCGAGUGGUCGGGACGAUUAUUGGGCCUAAAGCAUCCGUAGCCGGUCCUACAAGUCUUCCGUUAAAUCCACCUGCUUAACAGAUGGGCUGCGGAAGAUACUAUAGGGCUAGGAGGCGGGAGAGGCAAGCGGUACUCAGUGGGUAGGGGUAAAAUCCUCUGAUCCAUUGAAGACCACCAGUGGAGAAGGCGGCUUGCCAGAACGCGCUCGACGGUGAGGGAUGAAAGCUGGGGGAGCAAACCGG
rnacentral:rRNA from 1 species